GAUGAACGCUAGCGAUAGGCUUAACACAUGCAAGUCGAGGGGCAGCAUGGUCUUAGCCUGCUAAGACUGAUGGCGACCGGCGCACGGGUGCGUAACGCGUAUGCAACUUGCCUCACAGAGGGGGAUAACCCGUCGAAAGACGGACUAAUACCGCGUACACUCCAUCUUGGGCAUCCAAGGUAGAGGAAAUGAAAUUCGCUGUGAGAUAGGCAUGCGUCCCAUUAGCUAGUUGGUGAGGUAACGGCUCACCAAGGCGACGAUGGGUAGGGGAACUGAGAGGUUGAACCCCCACACUGGUACUGAGACACGGACCAGACUCCUACGGGAGGCAGCAGUGAGGAAUAUUGGUCAAUGGGCGAGAGCCUGAACCAGCCAAGUCGCGUGAAGGAUGACUGUCUUAUGGAUUGUAAACUUCUUUUAUACGGGAAUAACAAGAGUCACGUGUGACUCCCUGCAUGUACCGUAUGAAUAAGCAUCGGCUAACUCCGUG
rnacentral:rRNA from 1 species